rnacentral:rRNA from 1 species
CCCUUAGAUGUCCGGGGCCGCACGCGCGCUACACUGAAGGAAUCAGCGUGGCUUUCUCCCUGACCCGAAAGGGUUGGGAAACCCGUUGAAUCUCAUUCGUGAUUGGGAUAGGGACUUGCAAUUGUUUCCCUUGAACGAGGAAUUCCCAGUAAGCGCAAGUCAUCAGCUUGCGUUGAUUACGUCCCUGCCCUUUGUACACACCGCCCGUCGCUACUACCGAUUGAAUGGUUUAGUGAGAUCCUUGGAUCGGCCCUGUCGCGGCUGGCAACGGCCGCGUCGGCGCGUCGAGAAGACGAUCAAACUUGAUCAUUUAGAGGAAGUAAAAGUCGUAACA